GCAAUCACUGUUGGACCAACACUGUAGUAGUGGUCAAUUCCCUGGGCUUAUAUUUGGAGGCACGCUGGUUCAAAUUCAGCACACAGUAAGAGCUGAGGUGGAUCUCGCAUUCAACACAGAUGUGCAGAAUGAAAUAGAGUGAGAGCUGAGGUCGGUCUUGCAUCCAAUGCAGAUGUGUAGAAUGGAACAGUGCUUCAUCAGGACUGCCUGAGACGCGGUCGUGUCCCCGGUCCCCGAGCGAGCCAAAACCACACGGUGGAUUUCUCAUCAGGAUCACACACUGAGGCACAACACGGCUGGGAUCUUAUAGGAUUUAAGGGACUCAGGUUUGAUACAUUUUUCCAGUGUAUCAGCCUCUUGGGAUACUGAAAGUGUAUGAAGGAAACAUCUCACGGGUUGUUUGUCUUUUUUAUCUGAUGUUAUUUACAAUGGGGGCUGAAUACAUUUACAUACAGUACACAUAGUG